GACGAACGCUGGCGGCGUGCUUAACACAUGCAAGUCGAACGGAAAGGCCCUGCCUUUGUGGGGUGCUCGAGUGGCGAACGGGUGAGUAACACGUGAGUAACCUGCCCUUGACUUUGGGAUAACUUCAGGAAACUGGGGCUAAUACCGGAUAGGAGCUCCUGCUGCAUGGUGGGGGCUGGAAAGUUUCGGUGGUUGGGCAUGGACUCGCGGCUUAUCAGCUUGUUGGGGGGGUAGUGGAUUACCAAGGCUUUGACGGGUAGCCGGCCUGAGAGGGUGACCGGCCACAUUGGGACUGGGAUGCGACCCGGACUCCAACGGGAGGCAGCGGUGGAGAAUAUAGCACGAUGGGCGGAGGCAUGGUGCAACAACGCCGCGUGCGGGAUGACGGCCUUCGGGUUGUAAACCGCUUUCGCCUGUGACGAAGCGUGAGUGACGGUAAUGGGUAAAGAAGCACCGGCUAACUACGUG
rnacentral:rRNA from 1 species